rnacentral:rRNA from 1 species
GAUGAACGCUAGCGGCGUGCCUAAUACAUGCAAGUCGAGCGAACAGACGAGGAGCUUGCUCCUCUGACGUUAGCGGCGGACGGGUGAGUAACACGUGGAUAACCUACCUAUAAGACUGGGAUAACUUCGGGAAACCGGAGCUAAUACCGGAUAACAUGUUGAACCGCAUGGUUUAACAGUGAAAGACGGUCUUGCUGUCACUUAUAGAUGGAUCCGCGCCGCAUUAGCUAGUUGGUAAGGUAACGGCUUACCAAGGCAACGAUGCGUAGCCGACCUGAGAGGGUGAUCGGCCACACUGGAACUGAGACACGGUCCAGACUCCUACGGGAGGCAGCAGUAGGGAAUCUUCCGCAAUGGGCGAAAGCCUGACGGAGCAACGCCGCGUGAGUGAAGAAGGUCUUCGGAUCGUAAAACUCUGUUAUUAGGGAAGAACAAAUGUGUAAGUAACUAUGCACGUCUUGACGGUACCUAAUCAGAAAGCCACGGCUAACUACGUG